rnacentral:rRNA from 1 species
AAUGCCUACGGGGGGCAGCAGUGGGGGAUAUUGCACAAUGGGGGAAACCCUGAUGCAGCGAUGCCGCGUGAAUGAAGACGGCCUUCGGGUUGUAAAGUUCUGUCGCAGGGGACGAAAAUGACGGUACCCUGCAAGAAAGCUCCGGCUAACUACGUGCCAGCAGCCGCGGUAAUACGUAGGGGGCAAGCGUUAUCCGGAUUUACUGGGUGUAAAGGGAGCGUAGACGGCGAUGCAAGUCUGAAGUGAAAGGCGGGGGCCCAACCCCCGGACUGCUUUGGAAACUGUAUGGCUGGAGUGCAGGAGAG